ensembl:lncRNA
GUUUUUAAAUAAAUGGUACCUUCAUAAUUUAUUCAUAGCUAGCAUGCCAGCUGAAAAUGGAAAGAGCUAUACCAGUUAUUUCAACAAAGCUUUGGUUGUUUUCCAAUCCAACUCCUGUCAACAGAAAAAAUAGGACCCAAUAAUUUUGUCCACUUCAAAGCUUUACCCAAAUGAUCUGUUUACUUCAUGAAUGAGAGUAUGUGUUUUGCCUGUUUCCCUUGAGCUGGAACUUCAGUACCUGACAGAACUUGGCCGCAUGUGUGAUUUUUCUGGAAUUCACAGAGUCAUGGAUGAAACGUUACUGAUUCGGAACAGAGACCUGUGGAAUCCCAUGAGCAGCACCAGGGCAGCACUGGGGCCAUGGCCGCCCCCCACCCAAUGGUAUGUUUGGUUGUUAUGGGACAUUUGUAGGGUCACUGUGCCACAGCUCUGUGAUCUCACGAGCCACCUCCCUCCUGGACCCCUAUAAAUAUGGGGACCCAGAGCCCAGAACCUCUGUCCGUCUGCGACGAGCGUCUUGACUGCCAGAGCCCUCUGACAGAAGGAGCAGCAUUUGAAUCCCCUUCCCGCGUGUGGCGAGAGCUGUGGUGGAGGGGGACGGAUCCCCCUCCACCGAAGAAGCGUCGCCGGCAGGAGAGCAGCAGCAAGCCGGAGCCCAUGGAGAUAGACUCCGAAGAGAGUGACGUCAACAUGGAACCAAUGGAGGUGGAUCUGCCUCCUGAGGAAGAGCCGAUGGAGGUGGAUCCAUCUCCAUCACGGCUGGGCAUCCACUAUAAGAUCAUGAUUGCCCGUCGACGUCGCCGCAUCCGUGAACAGCGCUCCAGGGGCUCUCGCUUUUCAUCUGCGCGUUGAGGAGUCACCAUCCGCCCGAGAGCCCCAGCUGCUGCUCCCUGCCCCCCUUCCCUUCCUUCCCCGACAUCCCUCACCUCUUCUUUCCCGAUCUCUGAGGGGAAGGGAAGGACCGGCACUGGCACCAGGACAACAGGAGGAGUGCAGCGGACGGCCGCGAGAGAUCUCCGUGCGGCCUCAGAGCGACCCCGAGGAAGAGGGCCGGGCCGGGCCUGGAGGUCUCUGAGGAGCUGCUCCCAACAGCAGGAGGACGGCGAACGGCCCCGCACUCCCUGCAGCAUCCAGGCGGUGCCAGAGAAGCUACAGAAGCACCUGUUGCCUGGGGGAAGCGAAAGUCUGCAUCGGACACGGGGAGGGAAGGGCCGUGCCAGGCGCUCCGUCAGGACUCCAGAAAGGCAGGACAAGGAACAAGGUGAAGACGACGAC